UGAAUCAAAGGAACCAGCGUUGUCCCUGACGAUGGACAUUUCAGUCAAAUGUUGAGAACAACAUUUAGGUAAAUGUUGGGAAACAAGAUUUAGCCGUUUUAGCCCAUAAACAAAGUGCUUACUUUUGUGUUUGUGAUUUAAAAAAAAACGAAUCGAUUCUUCAGAGUCGUUUAAAAGAGUCACUCAAACAGGAUGAUUCGCGAGGCGAAUCGCCGCUCAGCCUCAGCAGCGUCACUCUCCGGUGUGCACACCAGCAGUGUGGCAGUGAUGAUGAUGAUGAUGAUGAAGACAGGGAUGGAAAUAUAGCCCAGGGCUGAGUGAGUCUGAGCAAAAACUGGAUACGACACAUCUCACCGGUUCAUCCACAAAUCCAGCAGUGCAGCCGAGCUCAUGGGGAAGAAGGUGCUGCAGUGUUUUCCCUGGUAUAAACGCUGUAAAGGCCAGGGCACCGGCAGGCUUUGCCCUCCGCAGGCCGUUCCCUCCAGCGAGGUACAGCCUGUCUUCCCUCCCUCCAUCCCGUGGGCGUGCAACGGUGAGGGAGGCAGAACACGGCCCGUUUACUUUUCACACAAGGCCCGGGUCACCUAUCGGCACCAGAUGGACGGAAAUAUUAUCGACGCCACCUGCUGACCUUUGGGCUCAUUUCCCAGAAUUCCCCACACUGAGAAUAGCUGCAUUGAGCUGGCUCGGUUCAAAUGUGUCCAUCUUUUCAUUGUCAGAUUUGUUGCCUUUCCGUUUAUCUUAUUUUUGGCAAUAAUACAGAGCGAGUCAAAAGUCACAGGACAGGUUUUAUUUUAUUUUAGCUUUUAUUUUAUUAUGGACUUUUAUCUCUGGGGUCAUCUCAAACGGAUUGUGUAUGCUGAGGAAAUCCACAACAAGCGCCACCUUCAGCACCGCGUCGUGGAGGCAUAAAAAAUAAAAUAAAAUAAAAUAAAACUGUGUCCUGUGACUUUUGACUCACCCUGUAGUGUAAUAUAUCAUUGCUGUCCAAAACUAAAACACGUACUAUUUUUUUCUAUUUUUAUUUUUGUACAUCAUCAGAGCACAGCAGCUUCCCUUCACACUGCGUGAACAUCUCAUCACGAUUUGAACAGAAAUGCUAUGAAACAGGUUGGAGUUAAAUAUCUUUACACUUCCAUUCAAACUGAAGCGUUUUGAUCUCUCCUGUCAAGUUCCUACUUUUCUUUAAACAGCGAUGAUAUUUUAUUCAUGUGGAAAUGACGCACACGCCUGAAAGCCAGCUGAAUGCAGCACUUCUUCCAGUGUGCUCGGUCAUCUCUGUGGUCAGGAGGAGGAGGAAGGAGAGGACAAUGGAAUUUAACGUGGGAGUGAAAAGGAGUUGAGAUCUGUUGCAGCAACACGGCGCUGCGUUUUCCUCCCCCUACAACUGUGUAUCUUCGGUUACUGUAAUCAAGGCCAGCUGGAUCCUUUCUGCCGGACCUGGACUGAUUAUGCAUGGUUGGGACAGACGUCAUGUGACCACAAAGGCCAGAGUGUUUCAGACUCUAUCAUUAAAAAAAAGAAAAGAAAAAGUUUACUUAUAUAACCUGCAUCGUAUAUUUUGCUGUUUUCCUCAUCCUGUUCCUCAUGUCUUAGCAAGAUACUACAGAUGGUCUUGAAAACUGUACUUUUUGACACAUCUGUGCAUCCAGUUAAAGGGAAAUUCCAGGGAUUAUCCAAAAAUUUCUCUGUAAUGAAGUGGUUACGAUGUAAACAGAGUUGUUCAGAGUGGUUUGGUGAUAGGAACCAGACGUCCCCCUCUAAAAUCUCCCUCACAGAGGGUUAUUACAAGAAAUGGAAAUGCAUUGACUGGAGACACCUGGGUCUCUACAAUGGGCCAUUUUCAGUUCCGACAGCUCUGAAUGACUUUGUUUACAUCUCGCCACUGAAUUAAGCAGAAAUUUUGAAAGUUGGGUGGAAUUCCCCUUUAACGUCAACCCAUAUUUGGUGUUACUGAACAUAAGGGAUGCGCAGUGUGUGUCAUUUGUUAAUCCAUAUUGUGGUGUUAGCCUUUACAAUACGGAUAUCACAGAAGGCCCCAGUGUGCAAAUGAUCCCUCGAGCCACUUUGAGCAGCUUGACCGGUCACAGCUUCACUUGGCUACCAGAAGGCAGUAAUUUUGGUUGAAAUACUGCAGAGCAAGAGCAAAAUCAAGGCAUAUCACAGCUGCAGGAUGUAGCCAUGCAGUCACAGCGCAUAUUAAAAUGGGCUAUUUGAUGCGAAGAGUGGCUCGGUGGCGCUGUCGCCUCACAGCAAGGAGGGCCUGGGUUCGAGUCCCCGGCCGGGUAACCAGGGUCCUCUCUGUGUGGAGUCUGCAUGUUCUCCCCGUGUCUGUGUGGGUUUCCUCCCACAGUCC